GAUGAACGCUGGCGGCGUGCCUAAUACAUACAAGUCGAGCGAACAGACGAGGAGCUUGCUCCUCUGACGUUAGCGGCGGACGGGUGAGUAACACGUGGAUAACCUACCUAUAAGACUGGGAUAACUUCGGGAAACCGGAGCUAAUACCGGAUAACAUGUUGAACCGCAUGGUUCAACAGUGAAAGACGGUCUUGCUGUCACUUAUAGAUGGAUCCGCGCCGCAUUAGCUAGUUGGUAAGGUAACGGCUUACCAAGGCAACGAUGCGUAGCCGACCUGAGAGGGUGAUCGGCCACACUGGAACUGAGACACGGUCCAGACUCCUACGGGAGGCAGCAGUAGGGAAUCUUCCGCAAUGGGCGAAAGCCUGACGGAGCAACGCCGCGUGAGUGAUGAAGGUCUUCGGAUCGUAAAACUCUGUUAUUAGGGAAGAACAAAUGUGUAAGUAACUAUGCACGUCUUGACGGUACCUAAUCAGAAAGCCACGGCUAACUACGUG
rnacentral:rRNA from 1 species